GCGGACUAUACAGCCAUGGCCAAGAUUAAGGCUCGAGACCUUCGCGCAAGAAGAAGGAGGAGCUGCUGAAACAGCUGGAGGACCUGAAGGUGGAACUGUCCCAGCUGCGCGUGGCUAAAGUGACAGGCGGCGCGGAUUCCAAACUCUCCAAGAUCCGAGUGGUUCGUAAAUCCAUUGCCCGUGUACUGACCGUCAUUAACCAGACUCAGAAAGAGAACCUCAGGAAAUUCUAUAAGCGCAAGAAGUACAAGCCCCUGGAUCUGCGGCCCAAGAAAACACGUGCCAUGCGCCGCCGGCUCAACAAGCAUGAAGAGAACCUGAAGAUCAAGAAGCAGCAGCGGAAGGAGCCACUGUACCCCGUCCAGAAGUAUGCAGUCAAGGCCUGAGCUUCCAGCAGUCAAUAAAACACACAGACCACUGGGAAAAAAAAAAAAAAAGAUUGCCUUUAUAUUCUUAAAAAUUAUUGACGACUCCAAAGAGCUUUCUACAUGUAGAUUACAUCUAUUGACAAUUACCACACUAGAAAUCAAAGCUUUUAAAAAAUAUUUACAGGGAAUUCCCUGGUGGUCCAGUGGUUAAGAAUUUGCCUGCCAAUGCAGGGGACAUGGGUUCGACCCCUGGCCUGGGAAGAUCCCUUAUUCCAUGGAGCAACCAAGCCCGUGUACCACAACUGCUAAGCCCACAUGCUGCAACUACUGCAGCCCGUAUACCUAGAGCCGGUGUACCUAGAGUCCGUGUAUCUAGAGCCCGUGUACCACAACAAACAGUAGCCCCGGCUCCCCCAGCAACAGAGCAACAAAGACCCAAUGCAACAAACUAUAAAUAAUAAAUGAAUAAAAUUAAAAAAAAAACAGAAAUAUUUACACAGUAAUUCAUUUAAAAUAAUAUUAUCAUCUUACAGUGUUGAAAACCUGUUAAAUCUGACUUAAUAGAAGAUAGUUGCCUUCUCAUGCCUACGUGUGCAGUCUGUUGUGACAUGUCAGGAGGCCUCUGGACAACCACACAGUCCACUCAUAAGAAAAUGAGAGCUAAAAAAAAAGAAAAAGAAAAUGAGAGCUAAAAAGAAAAAUAACAUCUUACUAUUAUUAAGAAAAUAAUUCU